rnacentral:tRNA from 1 species
GUGGCUCAGUUGGUAGAGUAUGGCAUUUGCAACGACAAGGUUGUGGGUUCAAUUCUCACC